UCUCCGUUGGUGAACCAGCGGAGGGAUCAUUAUAGAGUUUUCUAAACUCCCAACCCAUGUGAACUUACCUUUGUUGCCUCGGCGGGGCCUACCCGGUACCGACCCCUUUUGGGCGAAGUUACCCUGUAACGGCUGCCGGUGGACUACCAAACUCUUGUUAUUUUAUUGUAAUCUGAGCGUCUUAUUUUAAUAAGUCAAAACUUUCAACAACGGAUCUCUUGGUUCUGGCAUCGAUGAAGAACGCAGC
rnacentral:misc_RNA from 1 species